rnacentral:rRNA from 1 species
GGUUAAGUUAGAAAGGGCGCACGGUGGAUGCCUUGACACUAGGAGUCGAUGAAGGACGGGACUAACGCCGAUAUGCUUCGGGGAGCUGUAAGUAAGCUUUGAUCCGAAGAUUUCCGAAUGGGGAAACCCACUAUACGUAAUGGUAUGGUAUCCUUACCUGAAUACAUAGGGUAUGGAAGACAGACCCAGGGAACUGAAACAUCUAAGUACCUGGAGGAAGAGAAAGCAAAUGCGAUUUCCUGAGUAGCGGCGAGCGAAACGGAAUCUAGCCCAAACCAAGAGGCUUGCCUCUUGGGGUUGUAGGACAUUCUAUACGGAGUUACAAAGGAACGAGGUAGACGAAGCGACCUGGAAAGGUCCGUC